CCCGCCUGGGUACUACGAGCAAAGCUUAAAACCCAAAGGACUUGGCGGUGCCCUAUUCCACCUAGAGGAGCCUGUUCUUUAAUCGAUAAUCCACGAUUCACCUCACCAUUUCUUGCCUAAACCGCCUAUAUACCGCCGUCGUCAAUUUUCCCUUUGAAGGAAUCACAGAAAGUGAAAAGGUACCCACCAAAACGUCAGGUCAAGGUGUAGCGAAUGAAAUGGGAAGAAACGGGCUACAUUUUCUAUAAUAGACCAAACGGAUGAUCAGUAUGAAAUCUGAACCUGAAGGAGGAUUUAGUAGUAAAAAGAAAUCAGCAAAUUCUUUUUAACAUGGCCCUGGGACGCGUACACACCGCCCGUCACCCUCUUCGACUCUAAUAAUCUUUAUCUUAUAACUAUACUUUUGAACCUAGAAGAGGUAAGUCGUAACAUGGUAAGUAUACCGGAAGGUGUACUUGGA
rnacentral:rRNA from 1 species